UACGUAGGGAGCAAGCGUUGUCCGGAAUCAUUGGGCGUAAAGCGCGCGUAGGUGGCCUCAUAAGUCCGCUGUGAAAGUCAAAAGGCUCAACCUUUGAAAGCCGGUGGAUACUGUGAGGCUAGAGUACGGAAGAGGCGAGUGGAAUUCCUGGUGUAGCGGUGGAAUGCGCAGAUAUCAGGAGGAACACCAAUAGCGAAGGCAGCUCGCUGGGACGUCACUGACGCUGAGGCACGAAAGCGUGGGGAGCAAACAGG
rnacentral:rRNA from 1 species